ACAGACUCAGAGCAGAGACAUACACAGACUCAGCGCAGAGACAGACACAGACAAAGGGGCAACGAUAGCACCAGAACCUGAGUACAGACAGAAAGCACAUUAAGUUAUUGGAGAUGUCUGAGGACAUCUAUGCUGUGCCAGAUAUGACAAAGAAGGUCAAGUUUAACAGAGGUGAGAUGAAGGAGAGGAUUGUGGAUAUCUAUGUCAGUGCAGACACCCUGAGAGACGGUGAGACCAGCACAAAGAGAGAAGAGACAGCAGACACUGCUCCUAAUAAUGGACCAGGAGACCAGCACUCAGUACAUGUUCAGUGGUGGAAGAGACCCUCUGGAGUUGCUGCAGUGUGUCUGGGGCUGCUGUGUGUUCUCCUACUGGCUGGGAUCAUAGGUCUGUCGUUACAAUGUAAGUCUACAGUAUAUCUAUACUAAACAACAAAAUGCAACAUGCAAACAUUUCUAAGAUUUUACUGAUUUACAGUUCAUGUCAGUCAAUUGAAAUAAAUAAAUUAGGCCCUAAUCUAUGGAUGUCACGUGACUGGCAGAGGAUCAGCCAUGGGUGGGCCUUGAAGGGCAUAGGUCCACCCACUUCAGAUCAAAUCAAAUCAAAUGUAUUUGUCACAUACACAUGGUGAGCAGAUGUUAUUGCGAGUGUAGCGAAAUGCUUGUGCUUCUAGUUCCGACAAUGCAGUAAUAACCAACGAGUAAUCUAACCUAACCAUUCAAAAACUACUACCUUAUACACACAAGUGUAAAGGGAUAAAGAAUAUGUACAUAAAGAUAUAUGAAUGAGUGAUGGUACAGAACGGCAUAGGCAAGAUGCAGUAGAUGGUAUCGAGUACAGUAUAUACAUAUGAGAUGAGUAAUGUAGGGUAGGUAAACAUUAUAUUAAGUAGCAUUGUUUAAAGUGGCUAGUGAUGUAUUUUACAUCAAUUUCCAUCAAUUCCCAUUAUUAAAGUGUCUGGGGUUGAGUCAGUGUGUUGGCAGCAGCCACUCAAUGUUAGUGGUGGCUGUUUAACAGUCUGAUGGCCUUGAGAUAGAAGCUGUUUUUCAGUCUCUCCGUCCCUGCUUUGAUGCACCUGUACUGACCUUCUGGCCUUCUGGCCUCUGCAUGAUAGCGGUGUGAACAGGCAGUCGGGUGGUUGAUGUCCUUGAUGAUCUUUAUG
ensembl:lncRNA